UAUAAAGCAAUGAAGAGCAGUAGUAGCAAACUGAACCGGUUGAAGUGAGUAUGGGCUAGUGGGAACCAUAUAAUACGGCAUUUGUGAAGGCAGCUUGGAGCUUAUUUUCUUGAGGUGGAUGAUUGUAAAAUCAUCAAGUAGGGUGGAACCGCGAUAUUUAUCGUCCCUAUG
rnacentral:misc_RNA from 1 species